rnacentral:rRNA from 1 species
GUCCUUUAGAUUAAUAAUUUAAGGUCUGACCUGCCCACUGAAAAUUUUGAAUGGCCGCAGUAAUUUGACUGUGCGAAGGUAGCAUAAUCAUUAGUUUUUUAAUUAAAAGCUUGUAUGAAUGGUUGGACGAGAUAAAAUCUGUCUUUGAUUAAAUUUUAGAAUUUAAUUUUUAAGUUAAAAAGCUUAAAUUUUUAUAAAAGACGAGAAGACCCUAUAGAUCUUUAUAGUAUUAUAUUUAUUUUUAAUUAAGAUUAUUUUAUUAUUUAAAUUUAAUAUUAUUUUAUUGGGGUAAUAUGAAGAUUAAUUUAAUUCUUUAUUAUAUUUUUUCAAUAAUUUUUGUUUAUUUGAUCCUUAAUUUAAGAUUAAAAGAUUAAGUUACCUUAGGGAUAACAGCGUAAUUUUUUUAAAGAGUUCAUAUCGAUAAAAAAGUUUGCGACCUCGAUGUUGGAUUAAAAAUAAUUCUAGGUGUAGAAGUUUAGAUUAUUGGUCUGUUCGACCAUUAUAUUUUUACAUGAUCUGAGUUCAGACCGGUGUAAGCCAGGUCGGUUUCUAUCUUUAUUUAAUUAAUAUAUUUUAGUACGAAAGGACCAAAUAUUUAUUAUAUUUAUAUUUAUUUUUUGAAUAAUAUU